UUGACAUCCAGAGAACUUGGCAGAGAUGCUUUGGUGCCUUCGGGAACUCUGAGACAGGUGCUGCAUGGCUGUCGUCAGCUCGUGUUGUGAAAUGUUGGGUUAAGUCCGCAACGAGCGCAACCCCUAUCCUUUGUUGCCAGCGAUUCGGUCGGGAACUCAAAGGAGACUGCCGGUGAUAAACCGGAGGAAGGUGGGGAUGACGUCAAGUCAUCAUGGCCCUUACGAGUAGGGCUACACACGUGCUACAAUGGCGCAUACAAAGAGAAGCGACCUCGCGAGAGCAAGCGGACCUCAUAAAGUGCGUCGUAGUCCGGAUCGGAGUCUGCAACUCGACUCCGUGAAGUCGGAAUCGCUAGUAAUCGUAGAUCAGAAUGCUACGGUGAAUACGUUCCCGGGCCUUGUACACACCGCCCGUCACACCAUGGGAGUGGGUUGCAAAAGAAGUAGAUAGCUUAACCUUCGGGAGGGCGUUUACCACUUUGUGAUUCAUGACUGGGGUGAAGUCGUAACAAGGUAGGCGUAGACGU
rnacentral:rRNA from 1 species